GAUGGAGCCCGCCGCGUGAGUGAUGAAGGCUUUCGGCUCGUAAAACUCUGUUGUUAAAGAAGAACGUAUCUGAGAGUAACUGUUCUUAUAGUGACGGUAUUUAACCAGAAAGCCACGGCUAACUACCUGCCACCAGCCGCGUAUAAU
rnacentral:rRNA from 1 species